UCCAGUGAUUCACACCAGCUGU
rnacentral:miRNA from 3 species